rnacentral:rRNA from 1 species
GAUGAACGCUGGCGGCGUGCCUAAUACAUGCAAGUAGAACGCUGAAGCUUGGUGCUUGCACCGAGCGGAUGAGUUGCGAACGUGUGAGUAACGCGUAGGUAACCUGCCUCUUAGCGGGGGAUAACUAAUGGAAACGAUAGCUAAUACCGCAUAAAAGUCGACAUCGCAUGAUUUUGACUUGAAAGGUGCUAUUGCAUCACUAAGAGCUGGACCUGCGUUGUAUUAGCUAGUUGGUGAGGUAACGGGUCACCAAGGGGACGAUACAUAGCCGACCUGAGAGGGGGAUAGGCCGCCCGGGGGCGGGGACGGGGACCAUGGGCCUGCGGGACGGAGCAGUAGGGAAUGUUCGGCAAUAGGGGGGAACAUUGCCGAGCGAGGCCGCGUGAGAUGAAGAGGUGUUCCGUGCGGAAAGCUCUGUUGUAAGUGGAGAACGGGUGUGAGCGUGGAAAGUGCACGCUGUGACGGUACCUUAAGAGAAAGCAACGGCUAACUACGUG